UCCGGUUUGACACCGGCAGUCUCUUCAGAGUCCCCGACUUUACUCGCUGGCAACUGAAGACAGGGGUUGCGCUCGUUAUGGGACUUAACCCGACAUCUCACGACACGAGCUGACGACAGCCAUGCAGCACCUGUGUGUAGCUCAGGGUUGGAUACCUGUCGGGUGCCGUUUCCGGUCCCUACGUCUACACCCUUGCGGACAUGUCAAGCCCAGGAUAAGGUUCUUCGCGUAGCCUCGAAUUAAGCCACAUGCUCCACCGCUUGUGUGAGCCCCCGUCAAUUCCUUCGAGCUUCAGCCUUGCGACCAUACUCCCCAGGCGGGGUACUUAACACUUUUGCUCCGGCAGCGACCCCAUGACAGGCCGCUACCUAGUACCCAACGUUUAGGGCCAGGACUAC
rnacentral:misc_RNA from 1 species